ensembl:miRNA
UGUCUGCCCGCAUGCCUGCCUCUUUGUUGCUCUGAAGGAGGCAGGGGCUGGGCCUGCAGC